rnacentral:lncRNA from 1 species
CUCCUGAGUAGCUAGGACUAUAGGCAUGUACCACCAUGCCCAGGAUAUGUGAGGAUUACUUCAUGAAAACAAGGAAGUGAAUUAAGGAGGAUGAAAACAAAAAGACAAGACACAUGACCUCUGUGGGAUAAAGGCACAGGGAACUAUAGGAUGCUUGUGAAAGGGCAGUGUAGAGUUGACAGAUGUGUACCAGGUGUAGAGGACAGCUGAUCCAGACUAGAACAGAUCAGAAGACUAGAAGUCUUAAAGAUGAAACUGAUGAAUCUGAAUUGUGGGGAAAAAAAAUCCAAAAUGAAACUGAUGGAUCUGAAAAGAAAAUUCACAAUGGAGAUGAUUAUGUCAGAAUAUCCAAAAAGGAGCCAGGAGGGCAUAAGGAGUUGGAUCCUGGUCACAUACACAUCUAGAUGGAGUUUCACCUGCUGAACUGGGCCAAAGUGUAAAACUAGCUGCAUUUGACUUGAGUUGUAUAUACUGGGCCUGAUCAACCGCCUGGAGAGAUAACCAUACCCAACUAUAUUGAUCAUUGACUAGAGACAUCCUGAGCUGACAACCAGCCAUCAUUUAUCAUGGACUGUGCUAAAACCUUCCAGAUACGUAAAUUUACAGUAGCCCUUAAAAGCUCUGCCUAACCUUGCCUGAAUGCAACAUGAUUUAGCUGCUUGCUAGACUUGUGUCUCCCAAAUUGCAAUCUCUAAAAACCUGAUUAAAAUGCCUUUUGCUACUCCA